AGGACCGUGGCUAUGGAGUCCGGCGUGGCAGCGGCAAUCCCUGGCCAAAGUGUGCCUUCAGCCAAAAGCAGAACUGGAAACAUCCUAAGUGGGCCGGUAACGAGGCUAGCUCUGUCGACUAGUUCAAGACCCCUGAGCGCUUUGGGCCUGAGGUUCCUCAGCUUCCAAGUGAAAGGCUUCGACUUGGCAUUCUAAGAGACAAUCUCUGUGACCAUCAGUUUCCUCAUCUGUAAAACUGGCAUCAUGAUAACUUUGAAGGUUUUAUUCUGGGCAUAUAUAUGUUUGGAGGUGUGUGUAUGUUUGGGGAACCUUUGAAUUUGGAAGUACCAAGGUGAGGAGAGACUUAUGGAAUUUAGAAGCUUUGGCAGGAACUAAGCACUGUGUUUCUUAGAAUGAGCAGCUCUUUCUACUUGAAAGGCUGAGGCAGAGGAUCGCUUGAUCCCAGGGAUUUGAAGCUGGCUGCAGUGAGCUAUGAUCACACCACUACUCUCCAGCCUAGGUGACACAGCAAGACUCUGUAAAAAAUGAAGAAGAAGAAAGAAGAAGAAGAAGAAGAAGAAGAAGAAGAGGAAGAGGAAGAGGAAGAAGAAGAAGAAGAAGAAGAAGAAGAAGAAGAAGAAGAAGAAGAAGAAGAAGAAGAAGAAGAAGAACAGGCCAUGUGAGGUUGCCACACCUGUAAUCCUAGCACAUUGGGAGGCUGAGGUGGGAAGAUCACUUGAGGUCAGGAGUUCGAGACCAGUCUGGCCAACAUGGUGAAACCCUGUCUCUAAUAAAAAUACAAAAAUUAGUCAGGUAUGGUAAUGGGUGCCUGUAGUCCCAGCUACGUGGGAGGCUGAGGCAGCAGAAUCACUUGAACCUGGGUGGCAGAGGUUGCAGUGAACCAAGAUCAUGCCACUGUACUCCAGCCUGGGUGACAGAGUAAGACUCUAUCUCAAAAACAACAACAACAAACAAACAAAAAUAGUUCCUUAAGGUGAGAGACAAAUUUAUCAAAUAAAAUGUAAAAGCCAUGAGUUUA
rnacentral:lncRNA from 1 species